rnacentral:rRNA from 1 species
GAUCCUGGCUCAGAGUGAACGCUGGCGGCAGGCCUAACACAUGCAAGUCGAGCGGCAGCGCGUCCGACCACCCUCGGGUGGUCGGAUGGCGGCGAGCGGCGGACGGGUGAGGAAUGCAUCGGAAUCUGCCUCGUUGGUGGGGGAUAACGGUAGGGAAACUUACGCUAAUACCGCAUACGACCGUACGGGUGAAAGUGGGGGACCGUUCGGGCCUCACGCGAUGAGAUGAGCCGAUGCCGGAUUAGCUAGUUGGCGGGGUAAAGGCCCACCAAGGCGACGAUCCGUAGCUGGUCUGAGAGGAUGAUCAGCCACACUGGAACUGAGACACGGUCCAGACUCCUACGGGAGGCAGCAGUGGGGAAUAUUGGACAAUGGGCGAAAGCCUGAUCCAGCAAUGCCGCGUGAGUGAUGAAGGCCUUAGGGUUGUAAAGCUCUUUACCAGGGAUGAUAAUGACAGUACCUGGAGAAUAAGCUCCGGCUAACUCCGUG